AAUGCCUGUAAAGAUAGCUUGUCAUCUGC
rnacentral:sRNA from 1 species